CCUACGGGUGGCAGCAGUGAGGAAUAUUGGUCAAUGGACGAGAGUCUGAACCAGCCAAGUAGCGUGAAGGAUGACUGCCCUAUGGGUUGUAAACUUCUGUUAUAAAGGAAUAAAACGAGGCACGUGUGCCUUGUUGCAUGUACUUUAUGAAUAAGGAUCGGCUAACUCCGUGCAAGCAGCCGCGGUAAUACGGAGGAUCCGAGCGUGAUCCGGAUUUAGUGGGUUUAAAGGGAGCGUAGAUGGGUUGUUAAGUCAGUUUUGAAAGUUUGCGGCUCACCCGUAAAAUUGCAAUUGAUACUGGCAGUCUUGCGUACAGUUGAGGUCGGCGGAAUUCGUGGUGUCGCGG
rnacentral:rRNA from 1 species